rnacentral:rRNA from 1 species
CCUACGGGUUGCACCAGUGGGGAAUAUUGCACAAUGGGCGCAAGCCUGAUGCAGCCAUGCCGCGUGUAUGAAGAAGGCCUUAGGGUUGUAAAGUACUUUCAGUUGGGAGGAAGGCGUUGAUGCUAAUGUCAUCAACGAUUGACGUUACCAACAGAAGAAGCACCGGCUAACUCCGUGCCAGCAGCCGCGGUAAUACGGAGGGUGCAAGCGUUAAUCGGAAUUACUGGGCGUAAAGCGCACGCAGGCGGUCUGUCAAGUCGGAUGUGAAAUCCCCGGGCUCAACCUGGGAACUGCAUUCGAAACUGGCAGGCUAGAGUCUUGUAGAGGGGGGUAGAAUUCCAGGUGUAGCGGUGAAAUGCGUAGAGAUCUGGAGGAAUACCGGUGGCGAAGGCGGCCCCCUGGACAAAGACUGACGCUCAGGUGCGAAAGCGUGGGGAGCAAACAGGAUUAGAUACCCCGUAGUC